UACAGAGGUCCCAAGCGUUGUUCGGAUUCACUGGGCGUAAAGGGUGCGUAGGUGGUGAGGUAAGUCGGAUGUGAAAGCUCGGAGCUCAACUCCGAAAUGGCAUUGGAAACUACCUUGCUCGAGGGUUGGAGGGGGGACUGGAAUGCUUGGUGUAGCAGUGAAAUGCGUAGAUAUCAAGCGGAACACCAGUGGCGAAGGCGGCUCACUGGACCGGCAUUGACGCUGAUGUGCGAAAGCGUGGGGAGCAAACAGG
rnacentral:rRNA from 1 species